GUCUCACGUUCCGUUGUUUGGUCCUCAGCUGAGGGUGUGGGUUUCUGCGGUGGGGGCUGAGCUGCCCCGGGGUGUGGGGGAGACCAAGGGGCCCACAUCCAAGUCGCCUCUCUCCCGCUUUGGGACUUGGUUCCCAGACGGUCUCGUAGGGAAAGACGCUGGGAUCCCGCCGGUCCCAGCGAGUGUGGCAUCCUGCCCCAGGGGUGUCCUGGAGAUACUUUCCUUCUAAAGGCAGGGGCGCGGGAGGUGACGCAGGGAACGGCUCUCUGUCAGCCCCAGCUCCCCCCUCUGUCAAAUGGGAUGAGAAUGCUCAACCCCCAGGAUCGCUGGGAGCGUUCGGUGACAACACUGGGCCGUCAGAGGAGGGUGUGGACUCUGAGCCUCAGAAGCAGGAGCUGACAGAGAAGAACCAAGUGUGCUGGCGCGUGUGCAGACAGGUUCCUGGAGCAAGAGUGAGGAGAUCAGGGUCCCAUCACUGGGACACUUUAGGUAAGUCGCUCCUCUUCCACCAGUCCUGUCUAUACAGCAGGAUGACGGUACCCAUUGCUGCCGGCCACCCAGGAAUCCUCUGGAGUUUGAGUGUGAUCCCAUGUGGGAAAGCAAUCUGUGCUCGUAGGUGGGAGGAAGGACCAGUGCACUUUCAAGGAAUUACAUUAACAGAGACACCCCAGAUAUCACGGAACUCUGCAUGGCAGACAUCAAAUUAAUAGCACAAAACGUCAGAUACUUAGGUCAGGAUUUCUCCAAGUGUGGUCCGUGGGCUGGGUCACAAAAUCGUCAUGGGUGCUGGUUGAAACAGCAGAUGCACGGCCCACCCUAGGUCUCCUGCAUCCAGAAAGGGGAGGUGGGGUGGGAGGUGUCUGCAUGUUGAGCAAUUUCUCCUGUUGGAUGCGGUAUUCGUCCAAGUUUGAAGAGCACUGCUCUGCAUUUGCAACAAGGUUCUUAAAAUGUUGAAUCCUUCAAUGUCUAGUUUUGGUGUCAGUUUCUCCUGCAACUCAGAUUGAAAUAGCUGUGUCUGCUCUCAAGAAGGGAGCAGUUCUUUAUUCUCAGUAAUACUUAGUGUUUUCCGUAUGAGGGACUGCAUUCGUCUUCCAAGGCUGCCAUAGCAAAGUCCCGCAAGCUGGACGGCUUCACAAUAGACACGUCUUGUCUCACAGUUCUGGAGGCCGGACGUCCAUAAUCAUGGUGGUGCCGGGCCGUGCUCCCUCUGAAAGCUGUCGCAGAAUCUCUCUGUGCUUCUUCCUGCCUUCUGUUGGUUGCUGACAGGCUUUGCGUUUCUUGGCUUGCAGCUGUGUGACUCCAGUCUCCGCCUUCGUGGUCACAUGGUGUUACCCCUGUUGUUCUGUCUUCACGUGGCUGUCUUCUCAUAAGGACUCCAGUCCCCUUGGUUCAGGGGCCCACCCUACUCCAGGAUGACCUCAUCAUAACUGAUUACAUCUGCCGCAAUCAUAGUUCCAAAUAGGGUGACGUCCUGAGAUACGCGGGUUAAGACUCCAACUUAUUUUUGGGGGGGAGACACAAUUCAACCCAUUAAUAUUUGCAAAGUAUCAUGUUUUACUUCUACAAUUUCUUCUGCAUUUAUUAGCGAGAAUUCUUGUAUAAAACAAAUUUAUGUCCUACUUACAGUUUAGUAAAACGCAUUUUAAAAUAAACGUCAUAUUAUGAAGGUCAAUCCACGCCCAUCAAUAUGAGCCCACAUAAUAAUAAAAAUGGCAGCCGAGGCACUAAUGGUCCAUUUGGGAUGACAGUAGUGAUAAGAAUGGUUGGUAUUAUCGCUGACUCUCUCUGUGCCCCACACUGUCGUACGUGCUAACCCUAUGCUUACUCACUUCGUCCUCACCACAACCCGUGAGGAGGAGCUGUCGUCACCCAACUUUAAACAUCAGUGAGGCACAGCAGAGGCAGGGCUAGCAAGUCACAGACUGAGAUCCGAACAGAUUCUGUGCGGCUGCUGGGCCCACAUCUAACCAGUGUUCACCACUGCUGCUCAUCCGAUGAGACCCUCAACCUUACUGUUCCUCAGGGCACAGCAAGUAAGUCAAUCUAGAUACAGGUUUUUCCCCCAAUUAAACACACAAGAAUUUGAAAUAUUGAUGAUAGGACCGGCCCCAUGGCCGAGUGGUUAAGUUCACGCUGUCUGCUUCAGCAGCCCGGGCUUUCGCUAGUUUGGAUCCUGGGUGCGGACCUAGUACCGCUCAUCAGGCCAUGCUGGGGUGGCGUCCCAUGUAGCACAGCCAGAAAGACCUACAACUAGAAUAUACAGCUAUGUACUGGGGGCUUUGGAGAGAAAAAAUAAGAAAAUGAUUGGCAACAAACGUCAGGACCAAUAAAAACAUAAAAAUAAAUAAAAUUUGAUAGUAAUCAUUGUGGUUUCGAGUUGAGAUGACACUUGUCCUGUUAUAAUCUAGCAUGUUCCCAGACAUCUCGUCACCCUUCCUGUGCAUCAGGGACAUUGCCAUUCUAAAGGCUUUUCUGUGAGUGGGCUGGGAAUGCUCUUGCUUCUCUCCUCCUUUUUCUAAUAUAUAGUUGCAAGAGCAUUAAGUAUUUAUUAUAGGUAAAAAUAGAUAACGGGAAAAUAUCAUUACCCCAAAACGUACCACCCAAAGAGAAGCCCUGCAUGUUUUCAUCUGCAUUAUUUUUUUCCAGCAGUUUUCUUAUGCGAGCAUAUAUAUAUAUUUAUGCAUGUUUGCGUAUGUGUGCGUUUUUAGCUACAAAAGAUAAGAACUCAUCUUACAUGCAGUUUGGCAAUUUUCUUGCCUCAUUGUAGUGGGUAUGAUUUGUGUCCCCCGGAAAGAAAUGUCCAUGUCCUAACCCCCUCACGUGUUUGAAUGUGACCUUCGUGGAAAAUAGGGCCUUUGCCCUCCAGGACCAGUUGAACUGACCCCAUCUUAUUAACAGUAAUUAAAUUGUCUUUCAGAUAAUUUGCAAAGCCAUGUAGCCAGAGCAUGUGCAGAAGAAGAAAUCUUGACCUGAAAUGACCACAAAACUGGAGAUUCUCCUUCCCAUGGAACGAAAGCACCAGGGCAUGACCAGAACUUAAAAGUCAGAUUCAUAUCAGAAGCCAGGGUCCAUCAUUCAGGCAGAUCCUGUGUUAAAAUUACUUCCUCACAUUUCUAUAAAAGUUUAGAACCUGACCAUAAAUACUUGAAGUCCACCAAUCAAAACCUGUCCCGCAAGCAUUUCCACAUGCCAGGCUGUUCUCCCUAACCUCUAAAUUUCGCCCCAAAUCCUGAAGUGGGGAGACAGAUCAGAGGGUACAUGCCCCCAUCUCCCUCCAGAUCAAUCACACAGAAUAAAGCUGAUUUCUUUUCCCAAAUGAUGAUGCCAUAAUAAUUGGCUUCUAUUUUAAAAUAUUCAUCAAGUAGGAGAACCCCAUUUGUGUGGUAACAAAUUUUGGCAACCAAGAAGAGAGAAGGUCUUGUGACCACCUGCCUGAGGCUCUGGAGCCGCUGGCUUUGUGCAGGGUCUUUCACUGAUCCUAAGUGGCCGCUUAGACAUUUUGUCUGGAGGCUCAGCUGAUUGGAUUCCUCUUUCCCACCGUGGCACCCCAGGCCCCCUGGUACUCUUUAUCCUUUUCAGAGAGGAAACUUCUCCAGGAUCAGAUGUCUUUUGGGACACAAUUGGAAACACUGGUUAUAUUACUAGGGGUUUGAUUGGAAUGUCAUAUUUCAGAGAAACCUGCACAGAUUCAGAUAUGAUGAGAGAGCUUUUGAGGAACAAAGAUUCACUUCAUGGAAUAAAGCCACUUGGAAAUAUUGGCCUGGUACCUUACUUACAGGUUCACAGCAACUUUACCAGGAAUCAUUGAGACAUGAAACAACCUUUUUUCCUGAAGCCCUGCAAACUGAAGCUGGAUGACUUGAUAUAAACAAAUGCUUCUUAUUAAAUACCUGACUACAAUAUAGGCUUAACUUUGGGAGCCCACCUGCAUAAUCACCUUACAAAGAGACUGGUUCAAUGAGAUGGAAUAACCUCUGACCCUCAUCAACAGGAAGAAGCUACAGCAGUCAUCACCCUACAUCCUCAGGUUUGAGGAAUGAACACCAAAAAUGGGGGAUUUGUAACCAUGGGCCCAAUUAUAGCCAAUUUGAACGGACCUCAUCUCUCAUCAACAGAGUGAUCAAGAAAUUGUCUUUCAGAAAAUUUGCAAACUCAUGUAGCCAGAGCAUGUGCAGAAGAAGAACUCUUGACCUGAAAAGACUGUAGAACCAAAGGUUCUCCUCCUCACGGAACGAAAGGACCAGGACAUGACGAGAACUUAAAAGUCAGACUCUUAUCAGAAGUGAGGGGUCUAUCAUUCAGGAAGAUCUGGUGUUAAAAUUCCUUCCCAAUGUUUCCAUAAAAGUUUAGAACCUUACCACAAAUGUUUAGAACCUUACCAUAAAUGCUUGAAGCCCACCAGUCAAAACCUGUCUUGCCGGCAUUUCUGUGUGCCAAGCUGUUCUCCCUAACCUCUUGAAUUUCACCCCACAUCCUGAAUCAAGGAGACAGAUCUGAGGGCACAUGCCCCCUAUCUCCCUGAAGAUCAAUCUCACAGAAUAAAGCUGAUUUCUUUUCCCAAAAGCUGGUGUCAUAAUAAUUAGCUUUGUUUUAAUGCACAUGGGGUAUGAGAACCCAAUAUGUUCAGUAACAAUGUAUCUUGGGAUCUGAAUUCUCUAAUCUUCCUGAAGGCUGACAGUACAUGCUAUCCUAAUUCUUUACUUUUUUAAUAAUACUUCUGUUACAACACAAAAUUGGGGUUCUCCUACUGGCUACGUGGCUUUGUAAAUUUUCUGAAAGAUAAUUUAUUAAUUACUCUGUUAAUAAGAUGGAGUCAGUUGAACUGGUCCUGGAGGGCCUACGGUUACACUUACAUUGUUUCUAAGUCACAUUACUGAAAUUUAAAACACUUUCUAAAUGAAAAAAAAUGCACAAAGAGUUGUUAAAACAGAGAAGACAUUUGUAAACUACACCUCACAUAUUGGGUUCCUAUCCAUGAUUUGUGAAGCACACUAGGUAACAAAAUGACUGGUAACUAAUUUCAACAGAGAAUUCAAAUAAAAAUCAUAUAUAUAUAUGAACAAUAAGUAUGUUAAAAUAUGCCUAAACCAUUAGUGUCUUAGGGUUCUGCAGAGAAAUGGGAACAGUACGUUAUGUGUUUAUACAUAAAAGGAGAUUUAGAGCCAUCUGAUUGCCCAGUGGUUGAAGUUUGGCACUCCCGGCUUUGGUGGCCUGGGUUUGCUUCCUGGUCAUGGAACCACACUAAUCAUCUGUCAGUAGCCAAGCUGUGGUGGCAGCUCACAUAGAAGAAUUAGAACGACUUGUAACUAGGAUAUACAACUAUGCACCGGGGCUUUGGGGAGGCAAAAAAGGGCAGGGGAGAUUGGCAACAGAUGUCAGCUCAGGGCAAAUCUUUCUCUGCAAAUAAAUAAAAGGAGAUUUAUUAUGAGGAAUUGGCUUACGUGAUUAUGGAGACUAAGAGGUCUCAUGGUCUGCUGUUUGCAAGCUGGGGACCCAGGAAAGCCAGUGGUGUAAUUCAGUCUGAGUCCAAAGGCCUGAGAACCUGGCAAGCCGAUGGUUUAAGUCCCAGCGUGAGGGACAGAGGAUGCGAUGACAUGUCAAGUGAUGAGGCAGGAAGCAGAAAGGGGUGAAUUCCUCCUCCCUCUACCUUUUGUUCUAGCCAGGCUUUCAACGGAUUGGAUAAGGCCCCCACACACCAGGGAGGACAAUCUACUGAGUCCACUAAUUCAGAUGCUAAUCUCAUCCAGAAACACCCUCAUAGGCACACCCAGCAAUACUGUUUGACCUGGGCACCCCAUGACCAGUCAAGUUGACACAUAAAAUUAACCAUCACAACUAGAACUAAUAGAUGAAAAUAUAAACCCUAAGAAGAACAUUAAGUGGAAAAAGCAAGAUGCAAAAGAUGAGUACCAUGAUUCCUCUUUUGGAAGAGACCCUGUGUGUGUGUGCAGGUGUCUGUGUUCAUGCACCCCUCCCCCACAGGGACGCAUCUGGAGAGGAGGCCCUGCUCUAUGACAACAGGUCCCUUAGGGUCAGGGGGGAAGUCAGGCCCGUGAGAGAUGCAGAUUACUUUAUAAUAUACUUUCUUAUAUUGUUUGAAAUUUGAUACUCAGUAAAAACAGUAUUUGGAUAAAAAUCUGAACACCAAAUAUAGUUGUGAACAAAUUGACAAAAGUAAUAAUGCACGUAUAUUCAUUACUUUGAAAAAGCAUUCAUUGUAUUCAAUUUUAU
rnacentral:lncRNA from 1 species